GUUACGGCGUGCUAUACAUGCAAGUCGAACGAACUCUGGUAUUGAUUGGUGCUUGCAUCAUGAUUUACAUUUGAGUGAGUGGCGAACUGGUGAGUAACACGUGGGAAACCUGCCCAGAAGCGGGGGAUAACACCUGGAAACAGAUGCUAAUACCGCAUAACAACUUGGACCGCAUGGUCCGAGCUUGAAAGAUGGCUUCGGCUAUCACUUUUGGAUGGUCCCGCGGCGUAUUAGCUAGAUGGUGGGGUAACGGCUCACCAUGGCAAUGAUACGUAGCCGACCUGAGAGGGUAAUCGGCCACAUUGGGACUGAGACACGGCCCAAACUCCUACGGGAGGCAGCAGUAGGGAAUCUUCCACAAUGGACGAAAGUCUGAUGGAGCAACGCCGCGUGAGUGAAGAAGGGUUUCGGCUCGUAAAACUCUGUUGUUAAAGAAGAACAUAUCUGAGAGUAACUGUUCAGGUAUUGACGGUAUUUAACCAGAAAGCCACGGCUAACUACGUGCCAGCAGCCGCGGUAAUACGUAGGUGGCAAGCGUUGUCCGGAUUUAUUGGGCGUAAAGCGAGCGCAGGCGGUUUUUUAAGUCUGAUGUGAAAGCCUUCGGCUCAACCGAAGAAGUGCAUCGGAAACUGGGAAACUUGAGUGCAGAAGAGGACAGUGGAACUCCAUGUGUAGCGGUGAAAUGCGUAGAUAUAUGGAAGAACACCAGUGGCGAAGGCGGCUGUCUGGUCUGUAACUGACGCUGAGGCUCGAAAGUAUGGGUAGCAAACAGGAUUAGAUACCCUGGUAGUCCAUACCGUAAACGAUGAAUGCUAAGUGUUGGAGGGUUUCCGCCCUUCAGUGCUGCAGCUAACGCAUUAAGCAUUCCGCCUGGGGAGUACGGCCGCAAGGCUGAAACUCAAAGGAAUUGACGGGGGCCCGCACAAGCGGUGGAGCAUGUGGUUUAAUUCGAAGCUACGCGAAGAACCUUACCAGGUCUUGACAUACUAUGCAAAUCUAAGAGAUUAGACGUUCCCUUCGGGGACAUGGAUACAGGUGGUGCAUGGUUGUCGUCAGCUCGUGUCGUGAGAUGUUGGGUUAAGUCCCGCAACGAGCGCAACCCUUAUUAUCAGUUGCCAGCAUUAAGUUGGGCACUCUGGUGAGACUGCCGGUGACAAACCGGAGGAAGGUGGGGAUGACGUCAAAUCAUCAUGCCCCUUAUGACCUGGGCUACACACGUGCUACAAUGGAUGGUACAACGAGUUGCGAACUCGCGAGAGUAAGCUAAUCUCUUAAAGCCAUUCUCAGUUCGGAUUGUAGGCUGCAACUCGCCUACAUGAAGUCGGAAUCGCUAGUAAUCGCGGAUCAGCAUGCCGCGGUGAAUACGUUCCCGGGCCUUGUACACACCGCCCGUCACACCAUGAGAGUUUGUAACACCCAAAGUCGGUGGGGUAACCUUUUAGGAACCAGCCGCCUAAGGUGACAAUGAUGG
rnacentral:rRNA from 1 species